rnacentral:rRNA from 1 species
ACUCCUACGGGAGGCAGCAGUGGGGAAUAUUGGGCAAUGGGCGAAAGCCUGACCCAGCAACGCCGCGUGAGGGAAGAAGGCCUUCGGGUUGUAAACCUCUGUCCUUGGUGACGAAAAAAAUGACGGUAGCCAAGGAGGAAGCCCCGGCUAACUACGUGCCAGCAGCCGCGGUAAUACGUAGGGGGCGAGCGUUGUCCGGAAUUACUGGGCGUAAAGGGUGCGUAGGUGGCCUUUUAAGUUGGAUGUGAAAUCCCCGGGCUUAACUUGGGUGGUGCAUCUAAUACUGGAGGGCUAGAGUGCAGGAGAGGGAAGCGGAAUUCCUAGUGUAGCGGUGAAAUGCGUAGAUAUUAGGAGGAACACCAGUGGCGAAGGCGGCUUUCUGGACUGUAACUGACACUGAGGCACGAAAGCGUGGGGAGCAAACAGGAUUAGAUACCCUGGUAGUC